rnacentral:rRNA from 1 species
UACGGUAGGGGCAAGCGUUGUCCGGAAUUAUUGGGCGUAAAGCGCGCGCAGGCGGUCUCUUAAGUCUGAUGUGAAAUCUCGCAGCUUAACUGUGAGCGGUCAUUGGAAACUGAGGGACUUGAGGACAGGUGAGGAGAGUGGAAUUCCACGUGUAGCGGUGAAAUGCGUAGAGAUGUGGAGGAACACCAGUGGCGAAUGCGACUCUCUAGUCUGUAUCUGACGCUGAGGUGCAAAAGCGUGGGUAGCAAA